GCCUCAAUAGCUCCAACGGCUAGAGCGUCCCUCUCGUAAAGGGAAGGUUGAGUGUUCGAAUCACUCUUGAGGCA